UUGAGACCUUAUUUUAUUUCAUAGCCUUCAUCUUAGAUUAUAAAGUCAUAAAAAUACAAUUCUUGAAAUUAAAUAAGAAAAUAAAAACAAAAGUUAAGUGACAGCACAAUUGAUAUAGUGAAAUUGGCCACUCUCUUGGAUAAUGAUCCUAUAUACUCCCUCUGUUUUUAUAUAAGUUUUUUUGGGAAGAAAAUUUAUAAUAAAAUAUAAAUUUGUUUUGUAAUACUACAAAAUUAUUAAUAUUAUUUUUUAAUUCUGUUCCAUACAGAAUGAUUAUUUUUUUAAGAUGUGUGGAAAAUAAAAAACAAUUUAUAAAAAGCAGAGAUAAUAUAAUAUUAAGAAGAUAUAAACUCUUCUGCCGCUGCUACACAUCUACACCAACUACUGACACACUUUACUGUCUUAGGUUCUUCACACAAAUAUGGAAGACAACCCGAAUCAGUAGAACAUCGAUAGAACACGGCUGUGAGGAUAAGAGAUGAUAAAGUAAUCAAAAUCAUAUUGGUCAAAAUAUUGUGUACAAAUUAAAUAAGAAAGUUUGAAAAACAUAAAAAUGACUUACAUUCAACAACGUUUAUAGAAGCAAAACAUAGAAAAGAUAUGAUAAUUGUCACAUAAACAAACUUUAUAAUUUUAGCCAUAUUUCUUCUCUUUUCCAUGUAAUAAAUGGUUUUAUCAUUUUAUACUUAUAAAGUUCAUCCUCUGUUACAUCAGUAAAAUAUUGUUUUAGCUCUUGCAGAAAUGCAAAAAAACACUUUGUUAAAUUAUUAUUAAAUAUCACUUCAUUAAAUUAUAAUGAUGAUCAAAUGUCCCAUAUGUUGUUUAUUAAUGUAUUAGAUAGAGAUGAUAAUUUGAUUUUAAUGAUUAUUUAUAAACUACUCACAUUAAAUAGAAUAAAGAUUCAUAAAAAUAAAUAUGGAUACAUGUUCACGCAAUUAUCCAAUAAAAUAAAUGGUAUAUAUAUGAGCAUGAAUAAUAUAUAUAUAUAUAUAUAUAUAUAUAUAUAUAUAUAUAUAUAUAUAUAAAAGAUUAAUUGAAAUACAUUUUUAGUAUAAAAGAAUUUUAUACAGUCACUUAAUUAUAACCGUUGGAUGUUGGGACAAGUUUGAUUUUUAUUUUAAAAAUCUAUAAAGUAAUGCAAAUCGAUGAUGGUGAUGAAUCGAUUGCGUAAAACUUUUUACACUGACAGUGCAUAUUAAUUAAUCCAUAUAUAUAUAUAUAUAUAUAAUAUUAUAUAUAAUAUAUAAUAUAUAAAAUUAUUAUAUUUAUAUAUAUAUUUAUAUAUAUAUAUAUAUAUAUAUAUAUAUAAUAUAUAUAUAUAUAUAUAUAUAUAUAUAUAUAUUAUGACCAAACGACAUCAAGGUGUCAAAUUUAAUAAUAUGUCAUCUUUGAUCAUUCUUUACCGCGUAUUCCUAUAAUAAAAUUCACCAUUAGAUUGAAAGCUAUUAUCAUAUAAAUCAUGUUUAUAAAAUUUAACAUCAAUCGAAAAUGAUUUGAUAUGUCAAUAAGAUGCUUGAAAACUAACUUUUAAAAAUUUCAACAAAUUGUUAUCAUUCUCUUUAACAUAUCAAAUUUUAUUUAUUUAUGUUAAAUUUUAUAGACAUGAUCUAUAUGACAAUAGAUUUUAAUCCAACAAUGAAUUUUGUUAUAGGGAUAUCUAGAAAAAAAUAUGAUAAUUGUCACAUAAACAAACUUUAUAAUUUUAGCUAUAUUUCUUUCCUUUUCCAUGUAAUAAAUGGUUUUAUCAUUUUAUAAUUAUAAAGUUCAUCAUUUGUUACAUCAGUAAAAUAUUGUUUUAGCUCUUUCAGAAAUGCAAAAAACACUUUGUUAAAUUAUUAUUAAAUGUCACUUCAUUAAACUAUAAUGAUUAUUAAAUGUCCCAUAUGUUGUUUAUUAAUGUAUUAGAUAGAGAUGAUAAUUUGAUUUUAAUGAUUAUUUAUAGAAAUAAUCACAUUAAAUAGAAUAAAAAUUCAUAAAAAUAAAUAUGGAUACAUGUUCACGAAAUUAUCCAAUAAAAUAAAUGGAUAUAUAUCUUAACAUGAAUAAAUAUAUAUAUAUAUAUCUAAAUAAAAUAAAUUAGGGUUAAGUAUAACUAUAAUACCUAAAUAAAAUAAAUAAUAAUAUAUUUAAAUUCACCACUUCUGUCUCAAGUUGAGUAGCUAUUCUCGACCAUUGUUAGGUCAUUCACAAACGAUAUCGCAACAUAUUAAUAAUUAAAAAUUAGUAGUUAAUAGAAAAAGAUAAUGCCUUUUAAUCUAAAAAUAAUCUUCGCUUUCUCAAUCGCCAAAAUAAAUAGCACAAACAUAUUCAAUCAAUAGUGACCAAUAGCGAUCGGAGACAAAUUUUCUUGUAGUAUUAUCAAAUUAGUAUCCAAAAUUCUAAUGUUGUCCUUGACUUUAAGAUGAAUGUAAUAAUUAGAGAUGGAAUAUAUAUUAAUUCCGUGUUAAAUUAAAAUAAAAUGUAAGUUAAAUUAAAGAAAAAUCUCAAUUAUUAAAAUUUUAUAGUUAAUGUAGGGUGAAAACUGACAUAAAAAAAUAAUUUUCGAUUUAAAUACUAAAGAUAUUAUAAGAUUGUAAUGAAUGUAGGAAAAAUGAAUACUUGAAUUGAUACCUAAAAUUUAUAAAAAGAGAUAGUCUAAGUAAUAUUAAUUGAGACCUUAUUUUAUUUCAUAGCCUUCAUCUUAGAUUAUAAAGUCAUAAAAAUACAAUUCUUGAAUUAAAUAAGAAAAUAAAAACAAAAGUUAAGUGACAGCACAAUUGAUAUAGUGAAAUUGGCCACUCUCUUGGAUAAUGAUCCGAUAUACUCCCUCUGUUUUUAUAUAAGUUUUUUGGAAAGAAAAUUUAUAAUAAAAUAUAAAUUUGUUUUGUAAUACUAAAAAAUUAUUAAUACUAUUUUUUAAUUCUGUUCCAUACAGAAUGAUUAUUUUUUUAAGAUGUGUGAAAAAUAAAAAACAAUUUAUUAAAAGCAGAGAUAAUAUAAUAUUAAGAAGAUAUAAACUCUUCUGCCGCUGCUACACAUCUACACCAUUUUCUGACACACUUUACUGUCUUAGGUUCUUGACACAAAUAUGGAGGACAG
rnacentral:lncRNA from 1 species